UAUCUUCCACCUCAUAAACAUCCGCGUCUGUCUCACCUUCAUUCGAGUCAAUAUCAGGAAGUGGUUUAACAGAUACCAUUUCAAGGUAGCGGGUUUUUUGCUCACCUACGUGUCGCUAAGAGAGAUUGAAGUAUUACAACAAAAAAAUAUAUAAAAGGAUAAAGAUAUGAAUUUAAAAAAAAAACGGAAUUAAGCAAGAUUGAAUAGAUUCCUUGACAAAACUAUUAGCCAAAGUUCUUCCCUUUCAACUACUUUUAUAGUUGCAUGAAGGGCAGAGUAUAACCUCUAAAAUGGCUCAAAUAUUUCCCUUUUGCUUGUGAUUUUUUUACCAAUGGAACACAAGAAUAACAACAGAUAAUUCCAGUAAUGAAGCUUUUAGAUGUUAGAAUUUCGAAGUCUCGCUGCAAUAAGCAAGAUGGCUUAUGCACUCGAAUUUUGGAAUCAAACAAAAUCCGCGUGAUUUUACCGUCGUGUCACCAACGCAAACCGUUAAAUAUACAAAAAAAUAAGUUUUCGAUUGGGUUUGGAGUUUUAUUGCAUUAAUCAAGUGUGUGAGGUUGAGGUUGCAGAUUUGAAGACACCUAUGGAGACAUAUGUACUUUGAGAAAAUACUCACUAACCACUAGUGUUACUAGUUGCAUACAUGAGGUACUAGUAGUCAAAAAACUUUGUUGGUAAAUUGAUAAAUGUUUAAAAUUUUCUCAUUCCUCCUGAACUUCUAAUUUUAUUUUCUGGGUGGUUGUGUAAGUUAGAAAAACUUUAAACAAAUAAUGAAUUUUGUU